UACGUAGGGUGCGAGCGUUGUCCGGAAUUACUGGGCGUAAAGAGCUCGUAGGUGGUUUGUCGCGUUGUCCGUGAAAACUCACAACUCCAAUUGUGGGCGUGCGGGCGAUACGGGCAGACUGGAGUACUGCAGGGGAGACUGGAAUUCCUGGUGUAGGCGGUGGAAUGCGCAGAUAUCAGGAGGAACGACCGGUGGCGAAGGCGGGUCUCCUGGGCGAG
rnacentral:rRNA from 1 species